CUUAAGAAAAUUGAAGUCGGUGAAGUUGGGAAUUUAGCGGUGAAGAACUCAAAGGUGGUUUC
rnacentral:sRNA from 1 species